rnacentral:rRNA from 1 species
CCUACGGGUGGCAGCAGUGGGGAAUAUUGGGCAAUGGGCGCAAGCCUGACCCAGCAACGCCGCGUGAGGGAGGAAGGCUUUCAGUUUGUAAACUUCUUUUCUCAGGGACGAAGCAAGUGACGGUCCCUGAGGAAUAAGCGACGGCUAACUACGUGCCCGCAGCCGCUGUGAUACGUAGGUGGCGAUCGUUAUACGGAUUUACUGGGUGUAAGGGGCGUUUAGGCGGGAAAGCAAGUCAGAUGUUAAAACCAUGGGGUCAACCUGGGGCCUGCAUUUGAAACUGUUUUGCUUGAGUACUGGAGAGGCAGACGGAAUGCGUAGUGUAGCGGUGAAAUGCGUAGAUAUGAGGAGGAACACCAGUGGCGAAGGCGGUCUGCUGGACAGCAACUGACGCUGAGGCGCGAAAGCGUGGGGAGCAAACAGGAUUAGAUACCCGGGUAGUC